CCUACGGGUGGCAGCAGUGGGGAAUAUUGGACAAUGGGGGGAACCCUGAUCCAGCCAUGCCGCGUGUGUGAAGAAGGCCCUCGGGUUGUAAAGCACUUUCAGUGAGGAAGAACGCCUGGUGGUUAAUACCCAUCAGGAAAGACAUCACUCACAGAAGAAGCACCGGCUAACUCCGUGCCAGCAGCCGCGGUAAUACGGAGGGUGCGAGCGUUAAUCGGAAUUACUGGGCGUAAAGCGCGCGUAGGUGGCUUGAUAAGCCGGUUGUGAAAGCCCCGGGCUCAACCUGGGAACGGCAUCCGGAACUGUCAAGCUAGAGUGCAGGAGAGGAAGGUAGAAUUCCCGGUGUAGCGGUGAAAUGCGUAGAGAUCGGGAGGAAUACCAGUGGCGAAGGCGGCCUUCUGGACUGACACUGACACUGAGGUGCGAAAGAGUGGGUAGCAAACAGGAUUAGAUACCCCGGUAGUC
rnacentral:rRNA from 1 species